rnacentral:rRNA from 1 species
AUUGAACGCUGGCGGCAUGCCUUACACAUGCAAGUCGAACGGCAGCACGGAGCGUUGCUCCUGGUGGCGAGUGGCGAACGGGUGAGUAAUACAUCGGAACGUACCCUGAAGUGGGGGAUAACGUAGCGAAAGUUACGCUAAUACCGCAUAUUCUGUGAGCAGGAAAGAGGGGGAUCGCAAGACCUCUUGCCUUAGGAGCGGCCGAUGUCGGAUUAGCUAGUUGGUGAGGUAAAGGCUCACCAAGGCGACGAUCCGUAGCGGGUCUGAGAGGAUGAUCCGCCACACUGGGACUGAGACACGGCCCAGACUCCUACGGGAGGCAGCAGUGGGGAAUUUUGGACAAUGGGCGCAAGCCUGAUCCAGCCAUGCCGCGUGAGUGAAGAAGGCCUCGGUUGGUUAAAGGACGUACUUUCCGGUUGGGGAAGGAAAGUAGGCACGGGUUAAGUAACCC